GUCUUACCAGACAUGGUUAGAUCUGGAUGCAUCUGUCUAAUACUGUCUGGUAAUGCCGU
rnacentral:pre_miRNA from 1 species